GACGAACGCUGGCGGCGUGCCUAAUACAUGCAAGUAGAACGCUGAAGGAAGGAGCUUGCUCUUUCUGGAUGAGUUGCGAACGGGUGAGUAACGCGUAGGUAACCUGCCUGGUAGCGGGGGAUAACUAUUGGAAACGAUAGCUAAUACCGCAUAAAAUUGAUUAUUGCAUGAUAGUCAAUUAAAAGGUGCAACUGCACCACUACCAGAUGGACCUGCGUUGUAUUAGCUAGUUGGUGGGGUAACGGCUCACCAAGGCGACGAUACAUAGCCGACCUGAGAGGGUGAUCGGCCACACUGGGACUGAGACACGGCCCAGACUCCUACGGGAGGCAGCAGUAGGGAAUCUUCGGCAAUGGACGGAAGUCUGACCGAGCAACGCCGCGUGAGUGAAGAAGGUUUUCGGAUCGUAAAGCUCUGUUGUAAGAGAAGAACGAGUGUGAGAGUGGAAAGUUCACACUGUGACGGUAUCUUACCAGAAAGGGACGGCCAACUACGUG
rnacentral:rRNA from 1 species